AUGGCGAAGCUCGAAGGCGGCAGCAAGGAUGUUGACGAAGCCAUGGAGAGGUGGCACAACCGUUCCUUGGGCCACCGGCUGUACGACGCCUUCACCGUAGCCGGCCUCCGCGUGGAGACCAUCGAACCCGGCCGCCUCCUCUGCUCCUUCAUGGUCCCUCCUCGCCUCACGUCGAGCGCCAGCAACCGCAUGCAUGGAGGCGCGGUGGCGUCGCUGGUGGACCUGGUGGGGUCUGCUGUGUUCUUCGCCGGCGGCUCGCCGGUGACGGGGGUCUCACUGGAUAUCACCGUCUCCUACCUGGGCGCCGCCCGUGCAAACGAGGAGAUCGAGAUCGAGGCUCGGGUGCUCGGCAUUGGCGACAAGACGGGGUGCGUGACCGUGGAGGUGAGGAGGAAGGACACCGGCCAGGUGCUCGCGCACGGCCGCCACACCAAGUAUCUCGCCAACGUCUCCAGUAAACUGUGA
rnacentral:rRNA from 1 species